rnacentral:rRNA from 1 species
GAUGAACGCUAGCGGCAGGCCUAAUACAUGCAAGUCGAACGGUGUCUUCGGACAUAGUGGCGCACGGGUGCGUAACACGUAUGCAACCUACCUUACAUUGGGGGAUAGCCUUUCGAAAGGGAGAUUAAUACCGCAUAAGACAGUAGCUGGGCAUCCAGCAGCUGUUAAAGAUUUAUCGAUGUAAGCUGGGCAUGCGUCCAAUUAGCUAGUUGGUGAGGUAACGGCUCACCAAGGCAAUGAUUGGUAGGGGAACUGAGAGGUCAAUCCCCCACACUGGCACUGAGAUACGGGCCAGACUCCUACGGGAGGCAGCAGUAGGGAAUAUUGGGCAAUGGACGCAAGUCUGACCCAGCCAUGCCGCGUGCAGGAUGAAGGCGUUAUGCGUUGUAAACUGCUUUUAUAUAGGAAGAAACGACUCUUGCGAGAGGCAUUGACGGUACUGUAUGAAUAAGCACCGGCUAGCUCCGUGCCAGCCGCCGCCGUAA